rnacentral:rRNA from 1 species
UACGAAGGGGGCUAGCGUUGCUCGGAAUCACUGGGCGUAAAGGGUGCGUAGGCGGGUCUUUAAGUCAGGGGUGAAAUCCUGGAGCUCAACUCCAGAACUGCCUUUGAUACUGAGGAUCUUGAGUUCGGGAGAGGUGAGUGGAACUGCGAGUGUAGAGGUGAAAUUCGUAGAUAUUCGCAAGAACACCAGUGGCGAAGGCGACUCACUGGCCCGAUACUGACGCUGAGGCACGAAAGCGUGGGGAAGCAAACAGGG